AACGCGAAGAACCUUACCUAGACUUGACAUCCCGCUGACCGCUCUGGAAACAGAGUUUUCCCUUCGGGGACAGCGGUGACAGGUGGUGCAUGGUUGUCGUCAGCUCGUGUCGUGAGAUGUUGGGUUAAGUCCCGCAACGAGCGCAACCCUUAUCCUUAGUAGCCAGCGGGUGAAGCUGGGCACUCUAGGGAGACUGCCAGGGAUAACCUGGAGGAAGGUGGGGAUGACGUCAAAUCAUCAUGCCCCUUAUGUCUAGGGCUACACACGUGCUACAAUGGUCGGUACAAUAAGACGCAAGCCCGCGAGGGGGAGCAAAACUGGAAAACCGAUCUCAGUUCGGAUUGUAGGCUGAAACUCGCCUACAUGAAGCUGGAGUUGCUAGUAAUCGCGAAUCAGCAUGUCGCGGUGAAUACGUUCCCGGGUCUUGUACACACGC
rnacentral:rRNA from 1 species